GGUGAACGCUGGCGGCGUGCUUAACACAUGCAAGUCGAACGGAAAGGCCCAAGCUUGCUUGGGUACUCGAGUGGCGAACGGGUGAGUAACACGUGGGUGAUCUGCCCUGCACUUCGGGAUAAGCCUGGGAAACUGGGUCUAAUACCGGAUAGGACGAUGGUUUGGAUGCCAUUGUGGAAAGUUUUUUCGGUGUGGGAUGAGCUCGCGGCCUAUCAGCUUGUUGGUGGGGUAAUGGCCUACCAAGGCGUCGACGGGUAGCCGGCCUGAGAGGGUGUACGGCCACAUUGGGACUGAGAUACGGCCCAGACUCCUACGGGAGGCAGCAGUGGGGAAUAUUGCACAAUGGGCGCAAGCCUGAUGCAGCGACGCCGCGUGGGGGAUGACGGCCUUCGGGUUGUAAACUCCUUUCGCUAGGGACGAAGCGUUUUUGUGACGGUACCUGGAGAAGAAGCACCGGCUAACUACGUG
rnacentral:rRNA from 1 species